UCUCUGCGUGUACAAUCGAGCAUACAGAAACCUUUCAGAACAACGCCACAAUGUUAAAAUACUAGAUGCCAAAAUUUUCGUAGUGAGACUCCCGAAGAGCCUCUUCUCAAAACUAUGCGUUUAAUAAGGAUUAUAGUUAUUGUGUUUUUGGUAGCAAUAAGCGAGUUCGAUCGGAACUUUGCCAUAAACUAUGACAAUGCCGGAAUUGUUCUAAGGGAAAUAAACAAGAGAAGAAAUCGCCAUGGAGUCCCAAAAUUGAAAUUGGACAACGUACUCAGUAACGAAUGCCAAAGUUAUGCUUGGAAACUGUCCAAGUCGGCGACUCUUAACUAUUCGGAUCCCACUAACAAGGAUUACACAGAAAGCAUCUGCAAAUUUGAAGUUAAGAGGGGAGCACUGUCGAGAUGUGUCAAAAACUGGUAUAGAGGAAGAAAAUUGGAUAUCUUAGACCCCAAGGCUAAAGAUUUCACUGCCAUGAUUUGGAGGUCGUCCGUUUCCUUGGGCUAUGGCGACGCAAACAUAAAUUCUCUGCAAGGGGUUUUCGUGGUCAGAUACACUCCACCUGGAAAUGUGAAAGGAUUGUACAAGGACAAUGUUCCUCCCAGGAAGAGAAAACAAAAGAAAAAAAAGAAACAAAACAAACGAAAAGAAGACUGUGCCAGUCGUCCGGAUAAUCGAUGUGUCUUUUUGUUGUCCAUUCUUUUCUUGGUGUCUACUAAUUGGCAAAAUUAAUGUCUGCUAUCUGGAACUAGCUAGUCAUAGUCUUCUUAAAUGAAAAUUAUUUGUUUUUUCUUCGUUGGCACUUCGUAGGCACCGAACGCUCGGACAUGUUCCCUGAUUCGGACCGCAUUGAUGGCGAUAAAUCCACCGGCAUCCU